rnacentral:tRNA from 1 species
UGUUUUUUAGCUCAGCUGGUAGAGCAGUAGAUAUUUAAUCUACAGGACAGCAGUUCAAUCUGCAACAAUCA